GAUGAACGCUAGCGGCAGGCCUAAUACAUGCAAGUCGAACGGGAUUGAGGAGCUUGCUCCUCAUGAGAGUGGCGCACGGGUGCGUAACACGUAUGUAACCUACCUUAAUCAGGGGGAUGGCCUCUCGAAAGAGAGAUUAACACCGCAUAAAAUCACACUAUGGCAUCAUAGAAUGAUCAAAUAUUUAUAGGAUUAAGAUGGGCAUGCGGAACAUUAGCUAGUUGGUAAGGUAACGGCUUACCAAGGCUACGAUGUUUAGGGGAUCUGAGAGGAUGGCCCCCCACACUGGUACUGAGACACGGACCAGACUCCUACGGGAGGCAGCAGUAAGGAAUAUUGGUCAAUGGACAGAAGUCUGAACCAGCCAUGCCGCGUGCAGGAAGACGGCCCUACGGGUUGUAAACUGCUUUUGUACCGGAAUAAACCUCUUUACGUGUAAGGAGCUGAAUGUACGGUAAGAAUAAGGAUCGGCUAACUCCGUGCCAGCAGCCGCAGUAA
rnacentral:rRNA from 1 species